GAGUGGCGAACUGGUGAGUAACACGUGGGAAACCUGCCCAGAAGCGGGGGAUAACACCUGGAAACAGAUGCUAAUACCGCAUAACAACUUGGACCGCAUGGUCCGAGCUUGAAAGAUGGCUUCGGCUAUCACUUUUGGAUGGUCCCGCGGCGUAUUAGCUAGAUGGUGGGGUAACGGCUCACCAUGGCAAUGAUACGUAGCCGACCUGAGAGGGUAAUCGGCCACAUUGGGACUGAGACACGGCCCAAACUCCUACGGGAGGCAGCAGUAGGGAAUCUUCCACAAUGGACGAAAGUCUGAUGGAGCAACGCCGCGUGGGUGAAGAAGGGUUUCGGCUCGUAAAACUCUGUUGUUAAAGAAGAACAUAUCUGAGAGUAACUGUUCAGGUAUUGACGGUAUUUACCCACAAAGCACGGGUUAACUACGUGCCAGCAGCCGCGGUAAUACGUAGGUGGCAAGCGUUGUCCGGAUUUAUUGGGCGUAAAGCGAGCGCAGGCGGUUUUUUAAGUCUGAUGUGAAAGCCUUCGGCUCAACCGAAGAAGUGCAUCGGAAACUGGGAAACUUGAGUGCAGAAGAGGACAGUGGAACUCCAUGUGUAGCGGUGAAAUGCGUAGUAUAUAUGGAAGAACACCAGUGGCGAAGGCGGCUGUCUGGUCUGUAACUGACGCUGAGGCUCGAAAGUAUGGGUAGCAAACAGGAUUAGAUACCCUGGUAGUCCAUACCGUAAACGAUGAAUGCUAAGUGUUGGAGGGUUUCCGCCCUUCAGUGCUGCAGCUAACGCAUUAAGCAUUCCGCCUGGGGAGUACGGCCGCAAGGCUGAAACUCAAAGGAAUUGACGGGGGCCCGCACAAGCGGUGGAGCAUGUGGUUUAAUUCGAAGCUACGCGAAGAACCUUACCAGGUCUUGACAUACUAUGCAAAUCUAAGAGAUUAGACGUUCCCUUCGGGGACAUGGAUUCAGGUGGUGCAUGGUUGUCGUCAGCUCGUGUCGUGAGAUGUUGGGUUAAGUCCCGCAACGAGCGCAACCCUUAUUAUCAGUUGCCAGCAUUAAGUUGGGCACUCUGGUGAGACUGCCGGUGACAAACCGGAGGAAGGUGGGGAUGACGUCAAAUCAUCAUGCCCCCUAUGACCUGGGCUACACACGUGCUACAAUGGAUGGUACAACGAGUUGCGAACUCGCGAGAGUAAGCUAAUCUCUUAAAGCCAUUCUCAGUUCGGAUUGUAGGCUGCAACUCGCCUACAUGAAGUCGGAAUCGCUAGUAAUCGCGGAUCAGCAUGCCGCGGUGAAUACGUUCCCGGGCCUUGUACACACCGCCCGUCACACCAUGAGAGUUUGUAACACCCAAAGUCGGUGGGGUAACCUUUUAGGAACCAGCCGCCUAAGGUGGGACAGAUGAUUAGGGUGAAGUCGUAACAAGGUAGCCGUAGGAGAACC
rnacentral:rRNA from 1 species